GAUUUCUGCCUGUGAGGGUGCCCUGUGAAGAUUGCAAUGUGAUACAUGAUGUCAGAGGAAUUGUCCUGGUCUCUUGUCAUUCCCCAGCUCUGGAAGGAGCAGAUGGAUGUGGGCUCACAUGUGACAUGGAUACUGUAUCCAGCUUCUCCCCAGGACCCCUGGACUCUCUCUGUCCCCACUGAGGGGAAACUUUACCAGGAAAACGUCUCCCUUUAAUGAGGAGCCCGGGAAGGAAGGAGCUGUCUGUCCGAGGAUGGGGGACGGUCGGGGGUCUGGUGCCAGCUGUCCCCCUGCGGUGGCCGAUCAGAUCGAGGUGUCAGAGUCGGUGGAUUGCCUGCCCAUGGCUGUGGAAGAUGUAAAUAGACAUAGCUUCUUCCUAUUUACACACUAAGUUUAGCUAAGCCGGGGGGAGGGGGGCUUUUAAACUCUGCUAUUUAAAUCCAAGGCUGUGAGAUCUCUGCAGGUUAAACUCUGCCAUUUAAAUCCCAGGUAUUGAGAUCUCUGCAGGUUAAACUCUGCCAUUUAAAUCCCAGGUAUUGAGAUCUCUGCAGGUCAAACUCUGCCAUUUAAAUCCCAGUUAGAGAGAUCUCUGCAGGUCAAACUCUGCCAUUUAAAUCCCAGGUAUUGAGAUCUCUGCAGGUUAAACUCUGCCAUUUAAAUCCCAGUUAGAGAGAUCUCUGCAGGUCAAACUCUGCCAUUUAAAUCCCAGUUAGAGAGAUCUCUGCAGGUCAAACUCUGCCAUUUAAAUCCCAGGUAUUGAGAUCUCUGCAGGUAAAACUCUGCCAUUUAAAUCCCAGGUAUUGAGAUCUCUGCAGGUCAAACUCUGCCAUUUAAAUCCCAGGUAUUGAGAUCUCUGCAGGUCAAACUCUGCCAUUUAAAUCCCAGGUAUUGAGAUCUCUGCAGGUCAAACUCUGCCAUUUAAAUCCCAGUUAGAGAGAUCUCUGCAGGUCAAACUCUGCCAUUUAAAUCCCAGUUAGAUAGAUCUCUGCAGGUCAAACUCUGCCAUUUAAAUCCCAGGUAUUGAGAUCUCUGCAGGUCAAACUCUGCCAUUUAAAUCCCAGUUAGAGAGAUCUCUGCAGGUCAAACUCUGCCAUUUAAAUCCAAGGCUGUGGGAUCUCUGCAGGUCAAACUCUGCCUUUUAAAUCCCAGGUAUUGAGAUCUCUGCAGGUUAAACUCUGCCAUUUAAAUCCCAGUUAGAGAGAUCUCUGCAGGUUAAACUCUGCUAUUUAAAUCCAAGGCUGUGGGAUCUCUGCAGGUCAAACUCUGCCUUUUAAAUCCCAGGUAUUGAGAUCACAGCAGGUAAAACUCUGCCAUUUAAAUCCAAGGCUGUGGGAUCUCUGCAGGUCAAACUCUGCCUUUUAAAUCCCAGGUAUUGAGAUCACAGCAGGUAAAACUACCAUUUAAAUCCCGGACUGUGAGACCCAUGCAGGUUAAACUCUGCCAUUUGAAUCCCAGGCAGUGAGAUGCCAGCUCUGAUCUCCUGUAUAUUCACUCUGUUGAUGUAGGGAUAAUCAAGAGUGUGAGCAGAGCUGUGACUGUAUCACCACCAAACACCCAACAUGCUGGGAUCAGACUGCCUGCUGAACACCUGUUACAAAGUGUCUUCAAUGGAAUACAGGGAAAAUUACUGAUUGGAAUACAGGGAGAAUUACUGAUUGGAAUACAGGGAGAAUUACUGACUGGAAUACAGGGAGAAUUACUGAUUGGAAUACAGGGAGAAUUACUGAGUGGAAUACAGGGAGAAUUACUGAUUGGAAUACAGGGAGAAUUACUGACUGGAGUACAGGGAGAAUUACCGACUGGAAUACAGGGAGAAUUACUGAUUGGAAUACAGGGAGAAUUACUGACUGGAAUACAGGGAGAAUUACUGACUGGAAUACAGGGAGAAUUACUGAAUGGAAUACAGGGAGAAUUACCGAUUGGAAUACAGGGAGAAUUACCGACUGGAAUACAGGGAGAAUUACUGAUUGGAAUACAGGGAGAAUUACCGAGUGGAAUACAGGGAGAAUUACCGAGUGGAAUACAGGGAGAAUUACCGACUGGAGUACAGGGAGAAUUACCGACUGGAGUACAGGGAGAAUUACCGACUGGAGUACAGGGAGAAUUACCGACUGGAGUACAGGGAGAAUUACCGACUGGAAUACAGGGAGAAUUACCGAUUGGAAUACAGGGAGAAUUACUGACUGUAAUACGGGGCGACUGAUGGGAAUUAACGGCUGUAAUACGGGGCGACUGAUGGGAAUUACCGGCUGUAACACUGGGUGACUGAUGGGUUGCAGUGAAAGGAGGUUGUUACAGUGUAUAAUACAGGGUGACUGGCAAUAGUUACUGUGUGUAAUACGAAAAGUUGCGGUGUAUAAUACAGGGUGACGAGUGGUAGUUACAUCACACAAGACAAGUAGACUGGCAGUUGUUAUAGUGUGGAGUACAGUAUGACUGCUGGUAAUUCCAUUGUUUAAUAUAUGACUGUGGUGUGUAAUACAGAAUGACUAGUGGUUGCAACAAUGUUUAAUAUACGGUUUUAGAUAGUGCUCUGUUUUUUGUUUUUUGUUUUUAUCCCGAUUCCAAUACAAAUGUGCUCCCUAAGACUCAGUGUCUACAGAUAGCCUUAAUAAUAUCCAGUUUUAAAAUUUUGAGGGUGAAUUAUCUGUUUAAUAUUUUUGUAUCACCGUUAAAAAAAAAAAAAAAAGAAAGAAAAAGUAAAAUAAAUUUGCGCCAUUUCCAGGGAACGGCGCCGGGCUACUCCAACAAUAACAAUCCGAUGAUUAGAUACGAUUUAUGGUUAAAACAGCAAAAAAAAUGUAUCUCUAAGUCCGCUAUCAUUCCAGUUCUGCUACUUUUGCCUUGAAUGUGAUUAUUAUUAUUAUUAUUAUUAUUAUUAUUUCAUACUACUGUCAAUGGGUGAAAGGGAAAUUUAAGGACAACGUCUGAAGGGAACAUUGAAAUGAAGGCCGUUUUUCCGGCGCGGACAGCACUGUUUGCUCUCUACCAUCACUUUCCAUUUAAUAGGUCUAUGAUUCCCUGUGGUCUCAUGGUGGUUAUGGUGCGUGAUUCUUAAUGUGUUUAUGAAGUCAGAGUAGACGAGGUAACGAGUUAAUCGGCGAAGCGAACGGAAAUGGCUAUUAAUUAGUUAUUAAUGAGUUCUUCCUUUAUAAGCUACUAAGGAGUUGUUGCGUGUCAGUGUGGAGUGGGUUAUUUGUCUUUAAAAUUCUUCCUUUUUCCUCUCUUUUUUUUGCAUUCCGACCUUUCAGCAUUGGAGAGCGCUGUUUGAUGAG
rnacentral:lncRNA from 1 species